AGCGAACGCUGGCGGCAGGCCUAACACAUGCAAGUCGAACGAAGUCUUCGGACUUAGUGGCGGACGGGUGAGUAACACGUGGGAACGUGCCUUUAGGUUCGGAAUAACUCAGGGAAACUUGUGCUAAUACCGAAUGUGCCCUUCGGGGGAAAGAUUUAUCGCCUUUAGAGCGGCCCGCGUCUGAUUAGCUUGUUGGUGAGGUAAUGGCUCACCAAGGCGACGAUCAGUAGCUGGUCUGAGAGGAUGACCAGCCACAUUGGGACUGAGACACGGCCCAAACUCCUACGGGAGGCAGCAGUGGGGAAUCUUGCGCAAUGGGCGAAAGCCUGACGCAGCCAUGCCGCGUGGAUGAUGAAGGUCUUAGGAUUGUAAAAUCCUUUCACCGGUGAAGAUAAUGACUGUAGCCGGAGAAGAAGCCCCGGCUAACUUCGUGCCAGCCGCCGCAGUAA
rnacentral:rRNA from 1 species